rnacentral:rRNA from 1 species
CCUACGGGAGGCAGCAGUAAGGAAUGUUGGUCAAUGGACGAAAGUCUGAACCAGCCAUGCCGCGUGAAGGAUGAAGGCCCUCUGGGUUGUAAACUUCUUUUAUAGGGGACGAAAAAAGGGAAUUCUUUCCCACUUGACGGUACCCUAGGAAUAAGCACCGGCUAACUCCGUGCCAGCAGCCGCGGUAAUACGGAGGGUGCAAGCGUUAUCCGGAUUUACUGGGUUUAAAGGGUGCGUAGGUGGGCAGUUAAGUCAGUGGUGAAAUCUCCGAGCUUAACUCGGAAACUGCCAUUGAUACUAUCUGUCUUGAAUAUCCUGGAGGUGAGCGGAAUAUGUCAUGUAGCGGUGAAAUGCUUAGAUAUGACAUAGAACACCAAUUGCGAAGGCAGCUCACUACGGGAUUAUUGACACUGAGGCACGAAAGCGUGGGGAUCAAACAGGAUUAGAUACCCUGGUAGUCCACGCCCUAAACUAUGGAUACUCGACAUCAGCGAUACACUGUUGGUGUCUGAGCGAAAGCAUUAAGUAUCCCACCUGGAAGUACGAUCGCAAGAUUGAAACUCAAAGGAAUUGACGGCNGAGAGNGCGACGACGACGACGAGGGAGGAGG